rnacentral:rRNA from 1 species
CCUACGGGGUGCAGCAGUGGGGAAUAUUGGACAAUGGGCGAAAGCCUGAUCCAGCCAUGCCGCGUGUGUGAAGAAGGCCUUCGGGUUGUAAAGCACUUUCAGUGGGGAAGAAAGCCUUGGGGCUAAUACCCUCGAGGAAGGACAUCACCCACAGAAGAAGCACCGGCUAACUCCGUGCCAGCAGCCGCGGUAAUACGGAGGGUGCGAGCGUUAAUCGGAAUUACUGGGCGUAAAGCGCGCGUAGGCGGUCUGAUAAGCCGGUUGUGAAAGCCCCGGGCUCAACCUGGGAACGGCAUCCGGAACUGUCAGGCUAGAGUGCAGGAGAGGAAGGUAGAAUUCCCGGUGUAGCGGUGAAAUGCGUAGAGAUCGGGAGGAAUACCAGUGGCGAAGGCGGCCUUCUGGACUGACACUGACGCUGAGGUGCGAAAGCGUGGGUAGCAAACAGGAUUAGAUACCCCUGUAGUC